UCAUUUUUCUGUUGCUGUUGGCUCCCCCAGCUUGUCCACAAUGUGCAAAGUGAGGGUGGUGCAAACAAGAUCCAGAUGAGGCUGCAUUCUUUAGAUGUCAAGCCCAAAAGGGCACUGCGGCAGAAAUGAAUCCUGACAGGCAUAUUUAUCACCUACAUGAAAACAGUCAAACUUCCCAUCUCAGGUAUUGCUGACUGUGCAUUACCAGACAACAUCUCCAUGUGUUGCUCUUAGGCUACCCGCAGUAAGCUGAGACUGUGCAGCUUCACCAGCAAAUCAUCAUGCAGUUGUGCAUUUCAGUGAGCUGCAUAUUCCGAUGGCACUUGAAUGCCACAUGUGUGACGUUGCCACCUUUGGGACUGGGCCCAGCAGCACCCACGUCUCUGUAAGGAGUGCGACCUGCGUGGAAUGAAUGCACUGUGAUAUCUGAGUGACGGCUGCAGCACCGUCGGAGCAGAGAACUUUUCAUUUUACAUGUUUUUCUUCAGUUACAGCAGUACAACCAAAAACAGCAAAGUAAAAUGUCAAUACAGAUGAAAUGCAGUGAUUUGGAAAUCAUUUGAACACUUUUUUUUUUUUAAUUAAAAAUGCUCACAGACAACAUAAAAAUGUUGUGUUAUGGCUUUAAAAAAUGCUAAUUUUAUAUUUGAUUCUGGAAGCACAUCUCAAAAACAUUUGCACAGGUGACGCAAAGCAGUGAAAACAAGAUCCACAAUCGCCGUGUUCACAAAUGCAAGUUCAAACUUUACAGUGCAAAAAACAAACAAACAGCUAUAAACAAGGUCACAAAGGUUGCAGCCGUCUUUGGACCUUAGCUGGAAUGAGAUUAGGUGGGAAAAUGUCCAGUCAGGUCUGACCAUUCAAAAAAUGAAAUUCUCUUUGAAAAUCAUGGAUGUGUCGUGGUUAGCACUGUUGCCUCACACCAAGAAGGUCCUGGUUUGAAUCCACCUCCACCGGGCCUUUCUGGGUCUGUCAGUUAUGUUUG